rnacentral:tRNA from 1 species
UCCGGAUUAGCUCRGCGGUAGAGUAGUCGGCUGUUAACCGAUUGGUCGUAGGUUCGAAUCCUACAUCCGGAGCCA